UACGUAGGGUGCAAGCGUUGUCCGGAAUUAUUGGGCGUAAAGAGCUCGUAGGCGGUCUGUCGCGUCUGCUGUGAAAACUCGGGGCUUAACCCCGGGCCUGCAGUGGGUACGGGCAGACUAGAGUGCGGUAGGGGAGACUGGAAUUCCUGGUGUAGCGGUGAAAUGCGCAGAUAUCAGGAGGAACACCGGUGGCGAAGGCGGGUCUCUGGGCCGAUAUUGACGCUGAUGCGCGAAAGCCAGGGGAGCAAACGGG
rnacentral:rRNA from 1 species